CCCGGGUCCCCUCCAGCACGGCGGGAGCGAGCUUCAAAGUGAGGCUAGCCUGAGCCGGAGGGAGCAGCAGGACACCCCGCAGGAGACGGCCGUGGACAGCAGCCUGAGCUGCAUCUGUAAGUUCCUUCCCAGCGAGGCCCAGGGCUCACAGUGCCAGGUAGGCACCCCUGCCCUAGCGCCCUCUCUGCUCUCCAGUUCCUGACGCUGUGCGCGCUGGCCCAGCCAGGGGCCUACGCCGAUGGGAGCCUCUUGG